rnacentral:rRNA from 1 species
UACGAGUGCUUCGAGCGUUAUCCGGAAUCAUUGGGCGUAAAGGGUGUGUAGGCGGUUAUGUUAGUCUCCCGGUAAAUUCUUCGGCUCAACCGGGGGCAUGCGGGGGAAACGGCAUAACUUGAGGAUGGAAGGGGUCUCUGGAACUCAUGGUGUAGCGGUGAAAUGCGUUGAUAUCAUGGGGAACACCGAAAGCGAAGGCAAGAGACUGGUCCACUCCUGACGCUGAAACACGAAAGCGUGGGUCGCGAAUGGG